UUGGUUCCUGUCUAGAGACACCAUGUAGUGGGAUUGGAUUUCUUAAUCUCUUAUGAUCUUCACUGAAAUCCUUGUGAUGACCUUUUGUAAAAGCUCUGCUCUCUGCUCUCAAGAGUCUCUCUCGCGCACCUUUCCCUGGACUCUGCUAUGCACAGGCUCCUCUCAGCAGCGUGGAAGCCCUUCUCUGCUGCCUGGUUGACGUGCUCUUCCUCCUGCAUUGUUCCCCGUUUCCUUUCCCUGUAGAACCAGUAAUUACACAGGAAUCGGGGCGCGAUGUCUGAUUAUUGUUUGCUUUUGAAUACACGUCAUUCUUCCUGGAGGAGUGUGGCUCUGGAGAAGAGUGGGCAGGUAAGUGACUGAGACUCGGACUCUGGAUGGGGACUCAGGUUCAGGAAGGUGAGUUAGGGCUCCCGCGAGGUUCAUCAGCAAGAAGUGGCUGUCUGUCAGGAACGGAGAUCCAGUCUGGUGGGAAUUUAAAGAGAAGAAACAGGUGAACGUUUCCAGGUAGAUUAAUUAGGAACCCCUUUGCCAUUCUUCCUAAAAUCCUGCAAGCCUAAUUAACCAGAAUUGGGAUUCCUGGUCCUGGAAGAACGGAGAACAAUGCUGACACUUGUAAAUCCUUUGGGCUUCGAAUUAGGCUUUUAAAAAUACUGUUAAAAUGAGAAGUGAAACCUUCAGAAGAGACAAGUCGGGUGCUGUAAGAGGAGGACUUACGGAAUUCCUAAGAACAUGGAUUCAUACCCCGUGAUCUCAAGAAAGGCUUGGUGAAUUCCAAUUCAGUGCCCUUUCAAUUCAGUGUAUAUUUUAAUAAAAAAUUAUAGCUUCCCAACAGACGCCAAGUAAACACUUCCACCAGGAGGAAGAAGCACACUUGGAGUGGGCAGAAUGAGCAUGUUGCCAUGGCAACCACGAGGAGUGUAUAUUGGAUGGUUGGAUUUAACCCCGUCCAGAGCUCCCAGACGCUGCGGUCUCAUCUGAAAUUCCAGAGACCUGCCUCCUGUCUCCGGCCUCUACAUUCAUGGAAAUGUGGCUACUGUGAUCUGCACAGUGUGACCUAGAGAGCCGCAUUGUCCACCUUAGCGCCGGGGCCUGCGUCCACACAGACGAGCCUCAGGGUGCAGCUGCGGGCCUCUGGAGCGUCUCCUGCUUCUCUCACUGUCCUGGCAGCCACUGCCCGCUGGGGCCCUGGUUUUACACAACGUCAGAACAGUGUGCAUUGGGUCUGAAAGGCCCGAGGAGCCUGACCCAGCACACACUGGGGACUUAAAAAAAGGACUUAGGAUACAGAUCAGUGGCAGAGUGCUUAUGUACAUUACUGUACAAUUCCCAGUACUGGUAAAAAAAAAAAAAAAAAAAACAAAGAAAGAAAGAAAGAAAGCCAUGCUCCAACUCUUAUAGGAAAUAUUUUGUUAUUGCUUUGUAGAAAUAUUACAUUUUAAAAAUACCCUAAAAAUCUUUCAUCACAAAUCUGGAUUAAUCACAGAGACCUCACAUGAGGAUAAUAGGAACAUCAGGUGAUUUGCGGAAAUUGUCUCGUUUACCUUCCGAGCCCCACUCUGAUGGGCCACUCCCCGCAGAACAGAGACCCAGAGAGCCCAGUGCAACACCCAGCGGUGGAAUUUGACAAGGAGGUGGUGUCUCGCUUCCUUGCGUGUGCCACUGCAUCAACGGGCCGGCGACCCUGGGUUCAGGUCCCCGCCCUCCACAGGCAGGGUGUCCAUGUCCCAUGCUACAGUCUUCGGAGGCUUCCUGGUUAAUCACGUUUUCUUUCUUCGUUUACUCCUUUCUUGCCUGAGACUAAGCUGUUGGCUUGCAUCUCUCCUCUUCUAUGCUGACAACUGACAACUCUUGUGGGGUAGACACAACCUGGAAAUGUACUUCUCUUACAGCAUCAAGCAAAGUCCUUACACUAGCCUGAUGUGACGGAGAGAAGUCGAUGGCUCAGGUGAAUCUGAAUCUUGGGUCGGGCGCUGCCAUGGCCUGACUGUGUCCUCGGCAAGUUUAUAUGCUGAAGGCCCAGCCCCUACACCUAGCAGUGUGCCCGUGGAGUGGGGCCUAAUCCAGUGUGAUUGUCGUGCUCAUCAGAGGAGGAAACCUGGACCAUCCAACAGAUGCUGGGAAUGCUCAUGCACAGGGCAAAGGCCAUGGCAGGACACAACCAGAUGGGGACCACUCCUGCUGCCACCUUGAUUUUGGACUGCUGGUCUCCAGAGCUAGGAGAAAACAGGUGUCUAUGGCUUGAUCUACCCACUGUGGUAUCUUGUCACGGCAGCUCCAGCAGGACCGACCUGUGCUCCUGGGCAACCCUCCAUUCUGUGCUACGGCUUUCAUGUCCGUGAAAGGGAGGCGGAGCGUCUCGGGGUCGACAUGGGAGGAUGCCCGAUGCCUGAACAGUAGUUGUCCCAGUGGUUUCUGCUCUCGGAGCUGUUCCACUGUCACCACAGGCAGUGCUGGACUCCGCUUCUGCCACGUGGACAUGAGCCACAUCUCCAGUGUUGCACACACGGACAGCUCCUCUGGCCUUUCCUUUCUAGGAUCACAUGGUAACAGGGUCCAGCUCCACAGGCACUGGUGAAAAUACCUUAUCUAACAAAAAGGCACAACCACUACCACUUGAUGCUUCUCACCUGGAGACGGAGCCUGCUGUGUUCAGUUUCCUGUGGGCCUUUUGGGAGCCCUUCUUCAGUUGACAGCUAGGUUGUCACACCUUUAAACUGCUACAAGCUGGCACCUCAGAAAGGAUGGCAAUCCCCGUUUCGGUGAAUGUUUUCUGUAGCUGUGAAAUGCAAGGUACUUAGGUCCUCGAGUACAGACUAGAAAAGCGUAACUGUUUUAGUUAGCUGUUUUUGUGGCUGUAAACAGAAGAUGUGGCAAGAACAAUGUAGAGGACAAGAAGUUUAUUUGGGGCUCACAGUUUCAGAGGUUCAGUCCAUGGAUGGGUGACUCAAGUGCCCUGGGCCCAAAACAGGGCAGAAGACCUUGGUAGAAGGAAAGCCAUUCAGGCAUGGCAGCAGGAGGCAGAGAGAGCAACACUGACAGGAACAAAAUAGAUAUCUCAAAGGUAGACUCCCAGUGACCCACCUGACCUUCCUACAGUUACCAGCAGUUAAUCCACAUCAGUGGAUUGAUCCACUUUCUAGGUCACAACUAUCGUCAUCUAACUAUUUUCUACUGGACCUCCUUGUGUUGUCUGGCAUAUGAGCUUUUGGAGACACACAUCUGAACCACAACGGCAGCUUACUUUUCCCCACAAACAUCUAGAAGAAAGAAAAUAAACACGUCAUUUCCCAGGGCAGUUCCAGUGUACACCUGAUGUCUUGGUAGGUCUGUUAUUCAGCUUUCUGUAGCUAAAAUGAGAUGCUGAUAGAAUACAAGGUCUAUUCUGGCUAAUCAUUCAAGAUUGCAUGUUCGUUGCUUUAGGCCUUUGGUGGGGGUGCUGGGCAGAAUUUCAGGAAGCACGCCCGGACAGCAAACUGUUCGCCUCCUGGCCUGGAAGUUAGAAGAGGAGGAAGAACACGGAUCUUCAGCCCCAAUGACCUCGCCUCUCAUGAGGUCCCCAACUCCGUCCAGUAGCACUGCCUUGGCACCAAGCCGCGAGCACAGGGGUCUCUGGGAACACUUCUCCACAGCACAGCAGCAUAAUUAUUAGCAGUACUUCUUUCCACUCCCCGUACUGCCCCAGGAUGGUUGCCGUGACCUGGUCGCUGCUGCUGAUCUUCUCCUUUGCUGUGGCCAGUGCUCUUGUUGGCCAUCACUCUUCUCUGUUCUUCCACCUUAAAGCCCCCUCGACUUCCCAAAUCGGAGCAUCUCUGGUCUACAAUAAUGCAUGGAGCUGCGCUGGCUUCCAGGUGACCGUCUGAGAGACUCUGUCACUUCAUGCUGUCUGGCUGUAGCCCCCAAGAAAGGAAAGAUGGAGGCUCACUGUCUGGCAGCCUGAAAGUGGUCCCUGCCGCCAAGACUUGGCAGCAGCUGGCUGUGGGCCGGCUUUCCCCGAAGCACUUUGGCCCAUUUCUGAAAGUGCAGACACCGAUCUGUCAGACUGACACUAGAUCAAGACACGGUGUCACGGUCGUGGCCCUGAAGCCUGCUCAAGAGAAGAGUACCUGAGAAUUCUGUGGUGUGCUCUGGAAAUGCUCUUCAGAGUCUCCAGAUUCUGUUCAAGCCAGAUUCAUCUGAAACUCAGAAACAUACUGGCUUUUCAGUACUCUCAUUUGGAGGUUUUAUACAAUUUUUGAUUAUCAGGAGAAAUAUGAGUUGUGCUUUACAUCUUAGUGAUUUGGCUUUUGGUCUUAAUUUUAAUUAGAGAUAGGAGCCCCCAAUAGCUAAGCCCUUUCAGCCCAGGCAGGAGCAGCGCUGUGCCCCUGUACCCCUGGGAGGCAGUUGGUCAAGUCCCCACCCUCCAUGUCAGCAAAGACUAGUGUCCAAAACAUGGACAUUGAAGGACUUUGAAAUCCUGCCUGAAGGAGAAAGAGACUUUCCAAAGGAAAACGCUGGAGAAAGUUGAGAUCUUUUUGAUUAACAGAGUGUCUAGAGAUGA